GGGGCUGAUUCUGGAUUCGACGGGAUUUGCGAAACCCAAGGUGCAUGCCGAGGGGCGGUUGGCCUCGUAAAAAGCCGCAAAAAAAUAGUCGCAAACGACGAAAACUACGCUUUAGCAGCUUAAUAACCUGCUUAGAGCCCUCUCUCCCUAGCCUCCGCUCUUAGGACGGGGAUCAAGAGAGGUCAAACCCAAAAGAGAUCGCGCGGAUGCCCUGCCUGGGGUUGAGGCGUUAAAACGAAUCAGGCUAGUCUGGUAGUGGCGUGUCCGUCCGCAGGUGCCAGGCGAAUGUAAAGACUGACUAAGCAUGUAGUACCGAGGAUGUAGGAAUUUCGGACGCGGGUUCAACUCCCGCCAGCUCCACCA
rnacentral:tmRNA from 28 species